AUCGAAGUGCUUCUCUCGCAAUCUCUCUCCGUCUUCUCUACCGUAUUUAUACGUGCGCGGAUAAUUUUAUACCGGCUGCGAGGCGAUUAAAAGAGAGAGAAGAGCGAGCGAGUUGCGUGCGUUCUGGUUCUGCGCGCUGCCCCCGCUCGUAACACCCCCCGGCCUCGGUCCCAUCAAUUUCGAAUUCGCGCUCAAACGGAAGCCCUAACUUCCCCCGCUCCCUCCGUCGUCUCCGAUUCCUCCGAGAGCGCUCUCAUUCCCGGCGGGGAAACCCUCCGAGAAAGGCAACCCAUUUCGGGCUUCUCGAAGUGAUCGUGCGUGCUCUCUGGAUUUGGAUUUUGCGCGAGGCAAGUGGCAGGCAUGUGGAGAACAACCUCGUGAACAUCAGUUGGUCAUGAAUAAUUCAGUGUACUUUCAUCCUCUUUUAUGGUACAGUUGAGAUCUUGUCUGCUGUUUUGCUAUCUGAUAUGUAACAGCUUUUAUGCUUUGUCUUAGAGCUUCCAUCCAUGUUUUUCUCGAGUUACUCCUGCUUAUCUUCUACCUUCUCUCGAGAUCAACUCAAUGCUUAAGUUGGUAUGUCUUCUUGUACUCGUGAAUCAUCAAUUGAUCUAGAUAAUGCCAUCCCCACCUCACCCCUUCUGGGACUGAUACCAUGUGCUACAAGUAAUUUAUUCCACGACAUCUUAAUGUUUUUUGGCUAAUCUGGUUUGGUGUUCUGAUCUUGGUCACUGUGUCCCGUUUUAGACUUGCUCUCUUCUGAACUAUUGAAUGUUUAGGUUACACGUCAGACAGCUAUCACAAAAAGCGCUAUAGUAUUUUUGUAUGAUCCUAGCUACUCUGUCAAGACUUGGUCGUUAAAUAUCAUUGCUGGUGUUCGGAAGACAUUUCUUGGUCGUCCCAACUUCCUGUUCUUCCUUAUCCUUCUCAUCCCCCCCAUAUCUUGCCAGUUGUGGAGCACAUCUGGAUUUCAUUUUUGUUUUGCAUAACCUGGAGUUCUGUUCUUUUUAUUUGCCAACUCUAAUGCUUAAGAAGCUUUUGUCUAAUGCUAGGUUAAAUUUAGGGCGUGUCAUGAACUGUAAUUUAGUUAUUCCUGCCUUCCUUUAGGGAGUGCCAAUCCAACCGCCAAGUCGGCACUAUUUAUUUACAGAUAAUGGUGAAUCAGGGAUGGCUGUUUAUUUUCUAUCUCGUCCAACAGAGCACAUUCUUCAAUGCACAUGUGACCUUGAUCACCAUAGCUACUGUAAUAUUCCUUCUUAUUUGAUGGUGAAGAUUCUGCUUUAACAACGGCUUCUGUAUAAUUUUGCCUGAGGUGGUCAAAAAAGUUGCUGGAGGUUUUAAGUGCAGCACUUAGUUCUUUCCCUUUCACUCUAAAUCAUCUUUGUUGACAGAAUUUUUUACUCACUGUUGACAGUUUUUACUUAUCCUCCACGAUGCAUCUUCCAUAGGUGGAUAAGGACGUAAAUAAAUUUUGUUUAGUAGAAAUGCAGUUUUCUUUAACUGACAUUCAUCACUUUUGUCAUUAUUGAUGUUCACCGGGCCUAUAAAUGAUGAAUGUUGAAGUGGCCUUGUCAGAACUCUCACAUGUUAAAGGUUAUGGCAGUUGCGAAGUGGAGCCAUACUAGGAUGUCCUUUCCUAUUAGAUCAUUUGCUGCACAAUGUGUGAACAUUAGGGCCUUUUGGUGAGGUUCAUAUGUAUGUGGAUUUUUAGUUAGCUGUGGGAAUGACAGGAACAGUGAAAGGUGCACAUUUCAUGCUAGUACUUCAUGUUUCUAAAUGAUGGUCCAGGUGCACAAUGUGUGGACGCUCUGGAAAAUUCAUUCAACACAGGAGAAAGUUCAAUUUAGCAAUCGUCCUGUAGAUCACUUUCUUUACCUGAUUAAUAUGUUGUGCUGUCAGACAGGAAGUGUUCAUCCUUUUUGUGUCCUAUUGAUGAUUGUUUAACUUGUUGGUUUUUCACGUCUUCAUCAACUUUCCUGUUGGAAUACAUUUUCUCACGUUGUUUUCCUUCAGCAAAUAUGAUCUCAUCACCUCACCAUUUUUUUUCUCUUGAU